rnacentral:sRNA from 1 species
CCACCUUCACAUAGAAGAUAGGAUUUCUUCAGAAAUGUGUAACAGUCCUGUUAGAUUACCAAGUGCUAAUAGUUAAUAUGUAAUCUAUUCUUUUUAUGAAGGCAAAUCGAAGGGAGAGUGGUUGAGAUUUCCAGACUCCAAGAGAUAUUCACGGAAAAGGUUUUGCAACAGGAAGCUGAGAUUGAUAGCAUUCACCAGUUAGUUGUGGGGGCAACUGAAAAUAUCAAGGAAGGCAACGAAGACAUAAGAGAGGUAGGCACUGUUUUGGUUCCCCAGGUGCAACGUGGCACAGCACUGAGUCCCAGCAGCGGGUGUUAGUCUCGCCGGCACAGCUGCCCAGGAGCCUUGCUGGGCAGAGCUCACAGGGCUGAUCACAAAAUUGUGUGACCGUGAGGCCAUGGUCCGUUCCAGCGGAGCUGCGUGUGUUCAUGAGACCCACCACCCGUCGCCCACCUCCGGCUGCUUUCUAGAGGCAGUGGCUCACCAGUCUCCAAAGGAGCAAUCCAGGGUGGGUGGGGGUACUCCUGGCAGGGUCAGGCCAGCUCCCCAUGUCCAGGGAUGCACAUGGGUAGACGAGCUUAUUGGCCCCCACCGAGGGGUCAGAGCCUGGCACUUGCUUACAGAGGACACUACAGCCAUCCUGUUGGGGGGACUAUUUCCCGAGCUCAGUCCUCAGGGUUGGGUCACCACAGACAUCGUUACUGGGAAACACAAAGCUUGCGGUCACACUCUGCUCGGGGCCUUUAACCCUGGGACAGAAGGGAGUGAUUCCGAGGGUUGUGUUGAGGGAGAAUUGUGCAGGACCCAAAUGAUGGCCAAACAGAGGGAAAUAUAACCCAUUUGUCUUCUGGUGGAUCUCAAACCCAACUUUUGGUUUUGCUUAGUAAUUAAACCAUCUAUUCAAGGUAAGCACAGAUGGAACGACACCCAUAGUUACAGCCAGGAUC